AUUGAACGCUAGCGGGAUGCCUUACACAUGCAAGUCGAACGGCUUGGCGAACGGGUGCGUAAUGUAUCGGAACGUGCCCCGUCGCGGGGGAUAACUACGCGAAAGCGUAGCUAAUACCGCAUACUCUUGGAGCGGCCGAUAUCGGAGUAGCGAGUUGGUGGGGUAACGGCUCACCAAGGCGACGAUCCGUAGCUGGUUUGAGAGGACGACCAGCCACACUGGGACUGAGACACGGUCCAGACUCCUACGGGAGGCAGCAGUGGGGAAUUUUGGACAAUGGGGGAAACCCUGAUCCAGCCAUGCCGCGUGUGUGAAGAAGGCCUUCGGGUUGUAAAGCACUUUUGGCAGGAAGGCGGUACCUGCAGAAUAAGCACCGGCUAACUACGUGCCAGCAGCCGCGGUAAUUC
rnacentral:rRNA from 1 species